rnacentral:miRNA from 1 species
CUGUUGUUCUGAGUGGCUGUGA